AACGUAUUUAGUUUGCUUUACUGUAUCCGAAUUCCAUUGUGAGUGAAAGAUAAAGAUUCCGAAGAUAAACUUCCAGAAUGAACCGUCGUCAACGAGAACAUUUGGAAUUUUGUGCGUUGCUAGCCCGUGAUCAGGAAUUGAAAGCGACAGUCCGUCCAAAUAUGACGAUAUUGUUAACACUGACAUGUAUUUUUGCUAGUGUCAUUAUGGCAUCAACUUACGUUCUAGGAAUGUAUGCAGCAUUCACAGGUUUCUUCUUUGGAUUGUUCGUAAUACUGAAAAUGAAAAGGCUGAAAUUCAAAGAAGUCGAGCUCAUCAUCAGAGAUGAUCUAACAUUAGCACAGCAGGAAGAAUUGUCAGCCCUUGUAUUUGCGAAUUUUGAUGAAUUUCGUGAAAAUGCAAGGAUUACUUUGGCGAGGCUUACGGAAUCUGAGAAACAGUCUCUGUCUCGAAUAAUAAAGACAUUUCUGGAACAAUUAUUCACAUUCGAACACUUCAUUCACGCAGGGGAAAAUGUUCGAUAAAGUGGAUAUUUUACUGUUAUUUUAUUACUGUAUAUUUUCUGUUCAUGUUUCAAUUGUGUAACAACUGUAAUGAAUUAUGUAGAAUGUUGUAGUAGAUUUGUUAAAAUAUAACAGUUCCUUAUAUUGGGACAUACCAAUUUGCAACAAAAAUCAUUAGUACCUCCAUUUAGAAUUGUACAAAAUGUGGAAUAAUAUCAAAAUAAAGAAUGUAGAUGUUUGCACCAGAUAA